rnacentral:rRNA from 1 species
UGGGGAAUAUUGGACAAUGGGCGAAAGCCUGAUCCAGCCAUGCCGCGUGUGUGAAGAAGGUCUUCGGAUUGUAAAGCACUUUAAGUUGGGAGGAAGGGCAUUAACCUAAUACGUUAGUGUUUUGACGUUACCGACAGAAUAAGCACCGGCUAACUCUGUGCCAGCAGCCGCGGUAAUACAGAGGGUGCAAGCGUUAAUCGGAAUUACUGGGCGUAAAGCGCGCGUAGGUGGUUUGUUAAGGUGGAUGUGAAAGCCCCGGGCUCAACCUGGGAACUGCAUUCAAAACUGACUGACUAGAGUAUGGUAG